CUGAUGAGGUGGUAUUCAGUAUUUAAUUAAGAAAACUAUCACCUGUGGAAUUAGAUGCACAGAUGUGAAAAACUAAGACACAGAGCAGUUAAAAGAUCUAAUGACAGAACUCAGAAUGGAACACAGGUCUCCUACUUCUAGACUCAUGUUUUUGAGGAGAUCCGUGGAUCAGCAUCUCUCCUGGUCAGGACCACAGAGGCCUUCCACCCGCUGUGUGAAGCUUCGUUGGAUGCCAGCUUCAAAAGCAAAAGAAACCAGCAUAUCAUUUGUCUGAUCUGUUCAGUGCCUAUGCAAUGCUUGGCAUAAAAAGGGGGAGAAUAAAUAAGAAGAAAGAGGUACAGAGAAGGAGUCAGAAAGAAAAGGAAAGAAGGAAAUCAAAAUAGAAAAGAGAAAAGGUGGGAAAGAGAGAUAAAAGAGAAAAAUGAGAGAGAAGAAAAGACAGCCAAAAAAGAAACAGCCUGAAUUUAUAGGAGAUGCAGAUGAAAUCCAUUCCAGAACUCCAAGGAAAAUUAGCCUUUCUCUGACACACCCCUCAAAAUCCUUCCAGACUUGACCCACUAUUCACCACAGCAGCACAUCACCUCCAG